UGCAAGUCGAACGAUGAACCCCGCUUGCGGGGGGNUUANUGGCGAACGGGUGAGUAACACGUGAGUAACCUGCCCUUAACUCUGGGAUAAGCCUUGGAAACGGGGUCUAAUACUGGAUAUUGACUUUUCCCCGCAUGGAGAAAGGUUGAAAGAUUUAUUGGUUUUGGAUGGACUCGCGGCCUAUCAGCUUGUUGGUGAGGUAAUGGCUCACCAAGGCGACGACGGGUAGCCGGCCUGAGAGGGUGACCGGCCACACUGGGACUGAGACACGGCCCAGACUCCUACGGGAGGCAGCAGUGGGGAAUAUUGCACAAUGAGCGAAAGCCUGAUGCAGCGACGCCGCGUGAGGGAUGACGGCCUUCGGGUUGUAAACCUCUUUCAGUAGGGAACAAGGCCAGUGUUUAGCUGGUUGAGGGUACUUGCAGAAGAAGC
rnacentral:rRNA from 1 species